GCUGUGUUAAUGGACCAGGUUGUUUACCUCUUCACUGCGUCCUGGGUUUUUGCAGUAAUAAAGGCUCCCACCGUGCUUUUCCCUGGCUCCUCCUGCCUCGGACCAGCCCCAGGGCUUCCGCAGGCGGCUCUGCACGGUGUGGUGUGGUGCGGCAUGCCCCAUCCUCUUGGGAAUUGUGAGUAAUGAACUCUUCUUUCAAGGCUGUCAUCUCCGUGUCUGUUGUCUUACCAGUCCUGAUUAAAACAGAAUCCCAGGCACGUUCUAAAGCAGCAGAGACGGGAGGGAGGGCGUUCCCAACUGUGGGAAUGGCGUGUGCCAACCUGGAGAGGCAAUGGAGGGAAGAUGUUCUGCUUGUGUGGAGCGGGGGCCGCAAAGCACGUGUGGGAACCUGAGGCCGGAACAGGAAAGGCCUGGGCCCCAGGGAAAGGAGCCUGGACUGGUCGGGGCCGGGGGAUGGGGGGGGACCCGGGAGGGAGCGGGGCCUGGGCGAGGCGGUCUGAUUUCCCCGCUGCCCUGUCUAAACUGACCCCUCCCGUGUGCUCCCCCUUGCCUUCCUCUCUUUGCUGUCUCCCUGAUCACUUGACGCUGUCUAACAUACCAUUUCAUCCCAUUUGUUGGUCUUCGUUGCCUUCCUUCUAGAGUGUGAGACCCACCAGGGCAGGGAUGCUCGUCUGCUCUGUCCUCUGCCGAGCCCCCUGUGUCAGAACGGUGCCGCCCACGGUGGGUGCUCAGCAAACACUCGUUAAAUGAACGCACGACAGGUGCUGGACAUCUCACCCUGGCAGCCCCGUGGAUCCCAAAUGCAGGGUGGCCUGGGAGGCGGGGGCGAUGUGGGGUAGAAUCGUGCCCUUGGUCGUGGGGUUGGACAGGCUAUGCUGGGAGGAGACGCCCUGUGAACCCAACUUCAUUGUAGCCGCGUCCAUAGAGCUUUUUUAAAGCAUCGUUGCGCUAACUCCUCUGCGUUCACAGGAUGAGCUCUCAGCUAGGAAAAUCCCAGGCAGGAGUCAACUGGAUGGUGAAAUUUCAGUCUGAGAGAGAAAGCCCUUGGACUUCUUCCUGGAGUUCCCAGCCCCGGGCCGGAGCCUUCCACAGGGUCCCACGGGGGAUUCCAAGACCCCCACUUCCAGAUGGGGAAGGUGCAGCCCAGAGAGGGGCCGCACAGCAAGGAAAGAGGCCUCCUGGAGCCACAGGCAUGGUCCCGAGCCCCCUUCUGCCCCCUCUCCCAGACCUCAGAUUCCUGGCCUCCAAUCCAUCACUGCUGACAGGCUGAGUGACCGCAGGCAGGGCACCACCCUCCCUGCUUGUGCAUUGCCAUCCUGGGGACAAGGACAAGGCAGCUCCAGCUCCUUCCCCAGGUUCCUCGAAGCCUCAAGCAAAAGCAAUCAGCACAGGGCAGCCGUCCUAACAGAGGACAACCAGGCUUGGGAUCAGUCAGAUUUGCCCUGGGCUGCCAGGUAGGGGCUGAGCGACCUCCCUGAGCCUCGGUUUCCUCAUCUGCUAAAGGGGCUAUGAGACCGAUGUGUGUAAAACAGCUAGCACAGUGCCCGACACAGCAGUAAAUAGUGGCCUUAUUGUUAUUGUUAUUUAUGUAUUUAUUUGUAUUAUUACAGGUAGUAUGGUGGACAAGGUCAAAGGCCAGAAAGUGAAAACUCUUGUGAAUAUUUUCCCUCCAGGCCCACUUCUGGCACUGGGCCCACCACCCCCAGAGCCCCUCCCGUCCGCUGUAUCUCCCGAUAAUUUUUUCCAUGAACAGGGUCUGAGAGUUGACUCUAGGAAUCUGGUUUGUGAACAAAAUGGCAUGUUCUCUAAAAGAAAUAUUGCCCUUCGUGGUUCAGAUAAACCUGCUUGGUUCAGUAAUGGGACAGAAGGGAGGGGUGGGUGGCAGAGAAAGAAAAUGUGAGAGAGAGAGAAAGUGACAGAGCGAAGGCUGCAGAGAGACAGAAGAAGUCAAGGCGGGAAAAGGAGCAGAGAGGAAGGAAGAGGUAGAGUGGGCAGCCCAGACGCAAAGACAGAGGGAAAGGAAAGACAGGGAGACAGAGAUGAACCAACAGACCCGAAGCAAGCGAGGGAGGGUGAGGUCAGCACCCUGCAGCAUCCAGUGGGGCCGGUUUGUCCCGGCCGGGUCCCGUGGGCCCCUCUCCCCUAUCAGGGCUGUCAAUCUCUGGCCUGGUGAGUUGAAGGGAAAUGAGCCUUGAACACGUCGUUCUGGGUAGGAACAAACACCCUUGCAGGCAGCCUGCUCUCUGAGGGUGGCAGGGGGUAGGGGGUGGACAAGGAGGGUCUGUCCAAGCCCUAGGGUGGGGCUCUGUGAACCAAGAAUAGUCCCUGUGAGGAGAGCUGGGUCCCCAGCCAGGUCUAGGGCCCAGGGGCGCUCUGUGUCAAAUUCGUGGAGAGUCAGGCCCAGGGUGGGGUGAAGAAUGUGGCCUGGUCGGCUCUGGGUGUGAACCGCCACCGGGAGCAGGCAGGACCAGAUGCAAGGGCAAGGCGACAGCACCCCCAGUCCCCAGGCCCGAUGUGCCCCGGGGCCUCUAGCCUUUUGCCUCGACUCCAGAACAAGACCUUCUUCCCUUCAUGCUCACACAGCAGGGCCAGGGCUGUGUCCACACAGAAUCACCAAAGAAAACAUUUCAGUCCAAAGACAAACAUGAGCGCUUCUCCCGUGAGCAGCGCUGAAGACACUUUGACAAACAGCCUCACAACCCCCGUUCCGCACUCUAUGGCUUUCCAAGGCCUUCCCCGUUGUCUUUGAGUUUCUCGAAGGUUUGCUUUCACAAGUUCCCCUCUGGCUCCAAACCUGCUCCCACUGCAUCAGUUCUGUUUAUGAUCAUCUCCCAUCUUGUUACCUGUGAGAUGCACGAGGACCCUGAGUGGAGGUUCAGCCCACCCCAAACCGAAUGGGAGACAGCUUCAUCCCGCAGCUCCUUUUACCAGAUUCUGCAGAUUCCCAGCCAGUUCGGCACCUCUGUCAAUGGUGUUAAGAAGAUGCCCGGAGCAGCCUGCAGCCAGCGCAAGCCUGCCCCAUCCCAGGCCUCAGUCCUGUCCUCCUCUGUCCUUCCGAUACUGCAGCCGCAUGUCUCUGAACAGGAGCCGCGUGCCUCCCUCACGUGGGGCUCAGGGGCUCUCAGUGCUCUCCGGUUAAGGUCCCGACGCCUCCGCGCCUCCACACGGCCUUCGAAGCCCUUCUGCGAUGAGCGCCUGCCCACUUCUCCAACGCAGGGGCUGCAGCCCAGAGUCCACCUGGACCAUUCCACUUCCCCACUGUGCCCUGACCUUGCAGAACCUGAGGCUGCAGACGCGGUUCCCUUUGCCAGGAGCAUCCUUUUCCAUCUCCUUCACCUGCUUCCUCCCGCUUACAUAGGUGCUACCUCCAGCCCCAGCAUCCCUCCCUGGAUUCCUCACCCGUCCUCCUGCCCCAUCCCUGAGAAUCUUUCCCAUUCAUCCCCAGUGGCUCAGGUGGCAAAGUGCAGCGACCCAGAGCCUGGACCUGGAAGUCCUAGCGGGGCUCCUG